CAGCCGCCGCGGGAAUACGAAGGGGGCUAGCGUUGUUCGGAUUUACUGGGCGUAAAGCGCACGUAGGCGGACUUUUAAGUCAGGGGUGAAAUCCCGGGGCUCAACCCCGGAACUGCCUUUGAUACUGGAAGUCUUGAGUAUGGUAGAGGUGAGUGGAAUUCCGAGUGUAGAGGUGAAAUUCGUAGAUAUUCGGAGGAACACCAGUGGCGAAGGCGGCUCACUGGACCAUUACUGACGCUGAGGUGCGAAAGCGUGGGGAGCAAACAGGAUUAGAGACCCCAGUAGUCCCUGUCUCUUAUAC
rnacentral:rRNA from 1 species